CUCAGACUCCAAACCUCCAUGCUGCCGGGGGUAGCCGACAGCCAUCUGGGCAGGCAAUCCGCCAUCCCACCAAAUGCAGAGGGAUCAUCUGCUGGGAGAUUGGACUGCUGGACGCUGAGACAAGAGACAAUAGCCUUGGAUCAGUGACCCUUUGCAAGCCUUCAGAAUUCCCAGGGUCUUUGGUGCGUUUCAGGAAACAAAUGGAAACAAGGUGCUCCAGGUUCUGAGUGCUUUGCCUGUGGUGAAGAACAAUGUUAUGACUAUGCUCUAUAUCUCAUGAAUAAGCUUUUCUACUGGAAAUCUGGUUGCACCAGUAUGAAGAAUGACUAUCGUAAGCAAUGCAACACGACAGAGACUACAAAAGCGGUAACAAAAAAAAUCAGAUGCUGCACUACUUAUCAUUGUAAUAGUGCAAUGGCAGCAGAAUACAUCUAGCCAUUGUUUUAGAAGGGGCAGUGAUGGGAAGAGAAAUCUGCCAUCUGUGUCUCUCCACUCUGCCCUGCUGCACGCAACAUGCCUUCCAGAGAACCCUUUCAUCCUGUUGCUUAAUGAUAUCUAACUACCCUCAAUAAACCCUUACUCUGGUCAACGUAAGCAAAUUCUGUAGUUGGCAUAUUCUUGGUCUCGUUCCUAGUUUCUUCUCAGGAUAUCCU